rnacentral:rRNA from 1 species
CCUACGGGAGGCAGCAGUGGGGGAUAUUGCACAAUGGGGGAAACCCUGAUGCAGCGACGCCGCGUGUGGGAAGACGGUCCUCUGGAUUGUAAACCACUGUCCCCAGGGACGAAGAUGACGGUACCUGGGGAGGAAGCUCCGGCUAACUACGUGCCAGCAGCCGCGGUAAUACGUAGGGAGCGAGCGUUGUCCGGAAUUACUGGGUGUAAAGGGAGCGUAGGCGGGACUGCAAGUUGGGUGUCAAAUCUACCGGCUCAACCGGUAGCCGCACUCAAAACUGCAGUUCUUGAGUGUAGUAGAGGCAGGUGGAAUUCCUAGUGUAGCGGUGAAAUGCGUAGAUAUUAGGAGGAACACCAGUGGCGAAGGCGGCCUGCUGGGCUUUUACUGACGCUGAGGCUCGAAAGUGUGGGGAGCAAACAGGAUUAGAUACCCGAGUAGUC